GGGCGAUUGGCUCAGCUGGUCAGAGCGUUGCGUUCACAUCGCAAAGGUCACAGGUCCGAAUCCUGUAUCGCCCA
rnacentral:tRNA from 1 species